rnacentral:rRNA from 1 species
UUAGAUCUCAAAUCAGGCAGGAUUACCCGCUGAACUUAAGCAUAUCAAUAAGCGGAGGAAAAGAAACUAACAAGGAUUCCCCUAGUAGCGGCGAGCGAAGCGGGAAAAGCUCAAAUUUGUAAUCUGGCGUCUACGACGUCCGAGUUGUAAUCUCGAGAAGUGUUUUCCGUGAUAGACCGCAUACAAGUCUCUUGGAACAGAGCGUCAUAGUGGUGAGAACCCAGUACACGAUGCGGAUGCCUAUUACUUUGUGAUACACUUUCGAAGAGUCGAGUUGUUUGGGAAUGCAGCUCAAAUUGGGUGGUAAAUUCCAUCUAAAGCUAAAUAUUGGCGAGAGACCGAUAGCGAACAAGUACCGUGAGGGAAAGAUGAAAAGCACUUUGGAAAGAGAGUUAACAGUACGUGAAAUUGUUGGAAGGGAAACACAUGCAGCCAGACUUGCUAUUCGGGGCAACUCGAUUGGCAGGCCCGCAUCAGUUUUUCGGGGCGGAAAAUCAUAGAGAGAAGGUAGCAAUUUCGGUUGUGUUAUAGCUCUUUAUUGGAUUCGCCCUGGGGGACUGAGGAACGCAGCGUGCUUUUAGCAUAAGCUUCGGCUUAUCCACGC